CCUACGGGAGGCAGCAGUGAGGAAUAUUUGUCAAUGGGCGAGAGCCUGAACCAGCCAAGUCGCGUGAGGGAGUACUGCCCUAUGGGUUGUAAACCUCUUUUGUCGGGGAGCAAAAGCCGGACGUGUCCGGCUGUGAGAGUACCCGAAGAAAAAGCAUCGGCUAACUCCGUGCCAGCAGCCGCGGUAAUACGGAGGAUGCGAGCGUUAUCCGGAUUUAUUGGGUUUAAAGGGUGCGCAGGCGGAUUUUUAAGUCAGCGGUAAAAUCGUGGGGCUCAACCCCAUCCAGCCGUUGAAACUGGGGAUCUAGAGUGUGCGAGAGGUAUGCGGAAUGCGUGGUGUAGCGGUGAAAUGCAUAGAUAUCACGCAGAACCCCGAUUGCGAAGGCAGCAUACCGGUGCACAACUGACGCUCAGGCACGAAAGCGUGGGUAUCGAACAGGAUUAGAUACCCGUGUAGUC
rnacentral:rRNA from 1 species